GCUCCUCUGGGAAAAAUCCAACAUCACUGAAUAGACUCUAGGAAGGCAGAUGUUGGCGGAGGAUGACGUGGAUGGAGUGACUGUAUCAUUGGUAACUGAAGCAAGUCUCAUCUGGACUCCAUGCCUUGGACUGUAAGCCCAAGGUGGGCACCACAUCUGCGUACUUCCCAGCUGCUACCACUGAGACUAUCAGAGAGGAGAUGCUGGCUUAUUGUCACAUACUGUCAGAUUCCAAAGCGAUCUGAAUGCCGUCUCUGACUCCUGCUCCAGUUUCUAAGCAGGGAAGACUGAAUGUGGCUGUAUGCGAUGAAAAACCCCACUCCCAAACUCAAGUGGCGACUUGGAUUCAGCCACCCUUGGUUGGCAUAAUCGGCAAUGGAGUGAAUAACUUCAGCAGAAUCAGGAGAGGAAAGCUAAGAUCAACACCUGCUUCUGUCUUCUCCACCCAAAGGGCUCAGGUACGUCAUACUUUUGUAAGAACUAAGUAAAAAUCAUUUCCCACUCUCUAAUUUCCUCUCCUUUUGCCAGUCCCAACACCAGGCAAAAGGAAGACACAAAUAGCCACCCUGGCAAUGACAUACAUGUAUUCUGGAUAGUUUUAAGGAUAAGCAGACACCCUGUGCCUGAUGAGGUAAGGAUGCUGUAUUGUAAGUCGGUGGCACCUAGUCACAGUCAGACAAGAAGAUGCAGAGACACAGGAUCAGGAAGUGAAGCGGUGCUCAACUCCAAGGCCCUCUUGGUAAAGCUGAUUUUGGAAACAGAGGGACACAUGGCUAGGUAUAAGGCGC